UGAGUACGAGACGCUAAGGCGUCGAAGUAGUGGAUGUCAUACUUCCAAGAGAAGCUUGCACUGUCAUAAAUUAAAAAUGCCUGUACCAUAACCGACACAGGUGGGUAAGUAGAGUAUACUAAGGGGCGCGAGAUAACUCUCUCUAAGGAACUCGGCAAAAUAACUCCGUAACUUCGGGAGAAGGAGUGCCUUAUUCUUAAGGUUGCAAUAACAAGAUCCAAGCAACUGUUUAUCAAAAACACAGGUCUCCGCUAAGUCGUAAGACGAUGUAUGGGGGCUGACGCCUGCCCAGUGCCAGAAGGUUAAAGAAGUCGGUUAGCAAUAGCAAAGCUGGUAACUGAAGCCCUGGUGAACGGCGGCCGUAACAAUAACGGUCCUAAGGUAGCGAAAUUCCUUGUCGGGUAAGUUCCGACCCGCACGAAAGGCGUAAUGAUUUGGAUGCUGUCUCGGAGAGGGGCUCGGUGAAAUAGACUUGUCUGUGAAGAUGCGGACUACCUGCACCAGGACAGAAAGACCCUAUGAAGCUUUACUGUAACUUGAAAUUGAAAUUGGACUUUAUUCGCGCAGUAUAGGUGGGAGGCGUUGAUUAUAAUCUUGUGGGAUUAUUGGAGCCAUCAGUGAGAUACCACUCUUGUAAUGUUAGAUUUCUAACUUUGAAUCAUUAUCUGGUCAAAGGACAGUUUCAGGCGGGCAGUUUGACUGGGGCGGUCGCCUCCUAAACGGUAACGGAGGCGUACAAAGGUUUCCUCUGAACGGUUAGAAAUCGUAUCUAGAGUGUAAAGGCAUAAGGAAGCUUGACUGUGAGACCUACAAGUCGAGCAGGGACGAAAGUCGGUCUUAGUGAUCUGACGGUACUGAGUGGAAAGGCCGUCACUCAACGGAUAAAAGUUACUCUAAGGAUAACAGGCUGAUCUCCCCCAAGAGUUCACAUCGACGGGGAGGUUUGGCACCUCGAUGUCGGCUCAUCGCAUCCUGGGGCGGUAGUACGUCCCAAGGGUUGGGCUGUUCGCCCAUGAAAGCGGUACGCGAGCUGGGUUCAGAACGUCGUGAGACAGUUCGGUCCAUAUCCGGUGUAGGCGCUAGAAUAUUGAGAGGAGCCUUCUUUAGUACGAGAGGACCGAGAAGGACAUACCUCUGGUGUACCAGUUAUCGUGCCAACGGUAAACGCUGGGUAGCUAUGUAUGGAGUGGAUAACCGCUGAAAGCAUCUAAGUGGGAAGCCCACCUC
rnacentral:rRNA from 1 species